CUACGGGAGGCAGCAGUGGGGAAUUUUGGACAAUGGGGGAAACCCUGAUCCAGCCAUGCCGCGUGCGGGAAGAAGGCCUUCGGGUUGUAAACCGCUUUUGUCAGGGAAGAAAUCCUCUGGGCUAAUACCUCGGGGGGAUGACGGUACCUGAAGAAUAAGCACCGGCUAACUACGUGCCAGCAGCCGCGGUAAUACGUAGGGUGCGAGCGUUAAUCGGAAUUACUGGGCGUAAAGCGUGCGCAGGCGGUUGUGCAAGACAGGUGUGAAAUCCCCGGGCUUAACCUGGGAACUGCACUUGUGACUGCACGGCUGGAGUACGGCAGAGGGGGAUGGAAUUCCGCGUGUAGCAGUGAAAUGCGUAGAUAUGCGGAGGAACACUGAUGGCGAAGGCAGUCCCCUGGGCCUGUACUGACGCUCAUGCACGAAAGCGUGGGGAGCAAACAGGAUUAGAUACCCUGGUAGUCCACGCCCUAAACGAUGUCAACUGGUUGUUGGGAAGGUUCCUUCUCAGUAACGUAGCUAACGCGUGAAGUUGACCGCCUGGGGAGUACGGCCGCAAGGUUGAAACUUAAAGGAAUUGACGG
rnacentral:rRNA from 1 species